GUCCAAUCCACUCGUUUCUGUCCAGCACCACUGCUUUAAGAGCCCAGAGAUGUAGAAAAAGCACACAGAGACUUUAAAAUCAUCUGAAACACACAGAGACGACGCAGAGCAGGUUGAUCUCGUGCUCCAGCUGCUGUGUGUCUGCAUGAUGGAGCGAUCCACACAGGAGCUCUUCCUGAACUUCAUGAUUGUUCUGAUCACCGUUCUGCUGAUGUGGUUACUGGUCAAGCAGUAUCAGGACUCAUGAGGGAGAGAAGAGCCUGCAUCUUCAUCAUCAUCUUCAUCUGUGAGGACGGUCUUGCAGGAGCUCACAGUCCAGAUGAUCCAACAGUUUGUGUUCAUGGAUUGUGGUCAUAAUGAUCUGAAGGUCAAACACUCAUCCUGCCAGACAAAAGAGUCCAGAUGUCCUGAUUUAGGACAGAUUUAUUUGCAUCAAUAAACUCUUUGGCAAUGCACCGGCAUGUGGUUGUGUUUUACAGCAUGCACUUACACAAAUACACAUUCCAACAAUGCCGAAUUUCAAUCGGAAAUGACUAAUACCGAUCAGAACUCACUGAUCACCUCAUCAACACAUUUAUAGAGUGAAGGUCUACUUUAGUGAGCGCUGCCUUGCGGUUCCAUCGCAGAGAGGCUAUAAGUCACUUUCCAGAACCUUCUCAGUCACUGUUCCUCACUGGUCAAAUCGGACAGAGCGUUAGUGAAUAACUAUUGAUUGUUUUUCUUUUAACGUUUCACUGAAACAUCUUAUCCCUGUCUCUUUUAAUCUUGUUUAUGUAAAGCACUUUGAAUCGCCACUCUGUAUGAAAUAAACUUGCCUUGCCGCGUUCAUACCAAGCAUGAAGAUAUCGAUGAAUAUAUGGUUCUAAAGAUUGUCCACAGUGUUAAAGAAUAUUAUGGUUCACACCGCAACUACAACGAUAAAGAUACAGAGGAUCCUUUUUGUUUUUAUUCCACUGCACUGACUAUGAUUACGAAAUUCAGAUGGAUUACACGAGCUGGAUUCACUGGUCAGAUGCACUAGCAGCACACUGAAGAUGCCUGCUGGUCACAAGGGGUUAACGCUGAACGAAAAGCAAACUCUUAAAAAUAAACUGACUGUCAUGAUUUGUCAGUGUAGAGGCAGGUAUAUUUAUUAGGGGUGUCAAAACUAUUGUAUUUUCAAUGCACCAGGAGAUGAUUCAGUAUCAGUUUAGU
rnacentral:lncRNA from 1 species